GGUUCCAUGGGUUAAUGGUGAGCACCCUGGACUCUGAAUCAAGCGAUCCGAGUUCAAAUCACGGUGGUACCU
rfam:Pan troglodytes isolate Yerkes chimp pedigree #C0471 (Clint) chromosome 1, whole genome shotgun sequence.